rnacentral:lncRNA from 1 species
CAGUGUCUUUGAUCAAACCAACUUCUUCGGAAGUGAAAGAUUUGGGAGAUUUUCUGACGGGGAGGAUUACGGAGGCAAGUGAAGAACUUCCUACCGAAGAGCCUUCCCGAAGUGAUCCUCCUGCCUCCGACUCAGCAACUACCCCCCUUCAGAAUGAUGAGCCUGAAGCCGACGAGCCUCUCAUUCCUGAAGAAGUCCUCCGACCUCGCCAAAAGAAGAAAGCUGC